rnacentral:lncRNA from 1 species
ACAGGAUCUUGCUAUAUUGCCCAGGCUGGUCUUGAACUCCUAGGCUCAAGUGAUCCACCUUUCCCUCCCAAAGUGCUGGGAUUACAGGUAUGAGCCACCACACCUGGCCGUGUUUUGUAUCCUCACAAGACUUUAUCCCCAGAUUUGAGACAAAGACUUGGAGCUAGAAGAGGAAUUACUGGUUAAAAAGCUAUCAUGAAUAGCUAGAGAAGAGCUCAAAGGCACGGAACUAACAAUGUUGAAUGCUGCCCUCAUUACUGUCCUGUCCCUCCACUGAAGACAAUCACCAUAGCAACCUGGAAAACGUAAACAAAGCAAAAAUCUUUUAAUUGACUUUGAGGCAAAAUCUAACAGAAUACAUCAUUAGACAUCAGCUGAACUGGAAUAAAAUAAUGCCCUGAAGAGAAGCCUAUGUUUUUCAGUUUUAAAGAGUUAAUCUUUAUAAAAGUUUUAGAGCUGGUGACUGAUCAUCUGUUUGCCUUGAUUUUCCUCCAAACUCUCACUCAUCUGCCGAAAGGAAGUGCUUGCUUUAUCUGCAGGAAGCACAUUGAUCUGCUGAACUCAUAACAACCAAGAGUUACAAGCUGUUGCUAAACCUGCUUACUUGUGUAGAUAACUUAAAAUACCUUCAUAAAAGAACUUCACUAAUAUUGUUUUGGUUUUUGUCCAAAACAAGCCAUGAGUUAUAAAAUUCCAGUACUGAAACAUUUAAUAAUAAUCUCCUAUGUAGGUACUAUCUUUAAGUUCGUAUCUGUGUGUUUUUAAUAAGAGCUUUAAUAAAAGCAAACCAGUAAUGAAACAGCUAAAUGGAAUCCAAGGCACAAAAUUUAAAAAGUAACUGCUGUAUUGCCCGGCGACUGCUCAAAUGCAGUCAGCGCUUUGCUGGCUGGCAUUUUCCUGAAACUAUAUGCCAUAAACUGAUGGCAUCAGGAGGAAUAACAUCUUGAAAUACACAUGGCUAAAGCCCAAAGAGGAUGGCAGAAAAGGAAGAGAGAAGUGAUUCAUCACCGACACCCUCCCACCCUUAUCCCUUCAUUCCUAAAGGAAAUGCCUGGGAAAUCAACAGUUGCUGUUAAAACGAAGCCAAAAGCCAAGGCACAGUGAAAGAGAAUUAAAUUUUAAAAGUAAUUAGUGAGGAUGUUCACGUGCUUCAUUAAAAUGCUCAAUUUAUAUUUUAAUAGCUUUUUUUCUAUAACUUAACAAUAAAAACUCUUUCUGCUCUAUAAGACCUUGAGAUGUGCUUCAUUGG